rnacentral:lncRNA from 1 species
UCCAAUCAUGAUAGUGAAACUUUUGAGCUCAUCAACAAAGCGUAACAGUUUCAGCUUUAAAUCAUACAAACAUUCAGUACAAAGAUAAGAACUCCAAAUACAAUCAACUUUAGCCAUAAGAGAGACUUCAAUCUCACAUAAGCUGAUGUCCAUCAUGCAAUCGAUCAAAGAUACCACCCAAAAACGACAACACCGAACAAAACCACCGUAGAAAUCUUCAAAGCUCCCACUCCUCGCACCUCCUCUUCCCCA